GUCCUCACUUCAGCUGCGCAUAUACUAAAAUUGGAACGAUACAGAGAAGAUUAGUAUGGCCCCUGCACAAGGAUGACAUGCAAGUUCAGGAAGUGUUCCUUAUUUUU
ensembl:snRNA U6 U6 spliceosomal RNA